rnacentral:rRNA from 1 species
UAGGGAAUAUUGGACAAUGGGGGCAACCCUGAUCCAGCCAUGCCGCGUGAGUGAAGAAGGCCCUCGGGUUGUAAAGCUCUUUUGUCCGGAAAGAAAAGCAUUCGGUGAAUACCCGGAUGUUCUGACGGUACCGGAAGAAUAAGCACCGGCUAACUUCGUGCCAGCAGCCGCGGUAAUACGAAGGGUGCAGGCGUUAAUCGGAAUUACUGGGCGUAAAGCGUGCGCAGGCGGUUCGGAAAGAAAGAUGUGAAAUCCCAGAGCUUAACUUUGGAACUGCAUUUUUAACUACCGGGCUAGAGUGUGUCAGAGGGAGGUGGAAUUCCGCGUGUAGCAGUGAAAUGCGUAGAUAUGCGGAGGAACACCGAUGGCGAAGGCAGCCUCCUGGGAUAACACUGACGCUCAUGCACGAAAGCGUG